rnacentral:rRNA from 1 species
GACGAACGCUGGCGGCGUGCUUAACACAUGCAAGUCGAGCGGUAAGGCCCUUUCGGGGUACGACGAGCGGCGAACGGUGAGUAACACGUGGGUGACCUGCCUUUAGUCUCUGGGAGUAAGCCUGGGAAACCGGGUCUAAUACCGGAUAUGACUCCGCGGCGCAUGUUGUGGGGUGGAAAGCCUUGUGCGGCUGGAGAUGGGCCCGCGGCCUAUCAGCUUGUUGGUGGGGUGAUGGCCUACCAAGGCGACGACGGGUAGCCGGCCUGAGAGGGCGACCGGCCACACUGGGACUGAGACACGGCCCAGACUCCUACGGGAGGCAGCAGUGGGGAAUCUUGCGCAAUGGGCGAAAGCCUGACGCAGCGACGCCGCGUGA